UACGAAGGGGGCUAGCGUUGCUCGGAAUUACUGGGCGUAAAGGGAGCGUAGGCGGAUAGUUUAGUCAGAGGUGAAAGCCCAGGGCUCAACCUUGGAAUUGCAUUCGAGACUGAAUAGCUAGGGUACGGUAGAGGGAAGCGGAAUUUCCGGUGUAGCGGUGAAAUGCGUAGAUAUCGGAAGGAACAUCAGUGGCGAAAGCGGCUUCCUGGACCAGUACCGACGUUCAGGCACGAAAGCGUGGGGAGCAAACAGG
rnacentral:rRNA from 1 species